rnacentral:misc_RNA from 1 species
AGGUUGGUGAUCUGAUCACUCCUAUUUAAUUUAUGCAAAUCAAAAUAUCUUGUUUACGGUCCUUUUUUUUUUCUUCUUAAUCUUGUAAUUUUAUUUGGAAUUUCUCUUUUUUCUUCACUUGCUGUUGUGACCUUUAAUUUCUGAAUUUCAUAGAAAUAAUGCUUUUUUAAAUGGUCUAGUGAUCUAGUCUGAUAUUAAAUUUUAUUUUUAUUUUUAUUUA